UAGGGAAUCUUCCGCAAUGGACGGAAGUCUGACGGAGCAACGCCGCGUGAGUGAAGAAGGUUUUCGGAUCGUAAAACUCUGUUGUCAGAGAAGAACAAGUCGGAGAGUAACUGCUCCGGCCUUGACGGUAUCUGACCAGAAAGCCACGGCUAACUACGUGCCAGCAGCCGCGGUAAUACGUAGGUGGCAAGCGUUGUCCGGAUUUAUUGGGCGUAAAGCGAGCGCAGGCGGUUCCUUAAGUCUGAUGUGAAAGCCCAUGGCUCAACCGUGGAAGGUCAUUGGAAACUGGGGAACUUGAGUGCAGAAGAGGAGAGUGGAAUUCCAUGUGUAGCGGUGAAAUGCGUAGAUAUAUGGAGGAACACCAGUGGCGAAGGCGACUCUCUGGUCUGUAACUGACGCUGAGGCUCGAAAGCGUGGGGAGCAUACAG
rnacentral:rRNA from 1 species